rnacentral:lncRNA from 1 species
ACUUUCGACCGCAAAAUAGAGUAUACUAAAACUUAUAAGCUCUUGACUUUGACGUGCUGGGUGAUUAUGUUUAUAGUGUAUCCAUAACAGUGUACGAUAACAGAUGGUCCAGGAUUCGCACAAACCAACUUAAGACUGUAACACUCUCUUUGACCUGAUAACUGUAACGUACUGAAACUUGAUAAAAUGCAGGAUUGGGCCAAAAAAAAUCUCGAAAAGAAAGGAAAAAAAACCCAGACCAUACCCUGGGUAAAAGUUGAAAUAACGAAGUAACGAACGUAAUUCUCAGAAAUUACAGAAUGAGC